AUCGUGUUCUUUCAAUGGCCGACAAAUACGAUAUGCGGCGCGCUAUAUUAUAAUUAUGGCGUCCUCGGAACUUUCGUAUUGCAUUGUGUAAUAUUUACAUCGGAGUAUGUGAAGAAAAAAGAACAUAACAAUAAUAUUUUAGUGCAGUUUAAGUGAAAUCAAAUCACUAUAAACUUAAGUGACGUUUGCAGCUCAUUCAGAGAAAUCUUUUACUCUAUUAAGGUUUGUCAGUGGUGUACCAGUCACAAAUAGGUCUGAUAUAUAAAAGAAAUUGACUGUAGUGUAGUAGCCAAAUGGUCGUAACAGCUACUCAAGGGGAAAAUAAUACUAUUUCAGUAACAGUCAGAUCACUCCUAAUGUAACGCAAACCCUUCCCAUUAUUUCGUAGCUAUCGCAAAUUCGAUGCGCAAGUCUGAGGUGACCCAAAGUAAUGAAUCGGGUAAAGGACGGUCUAAAUAAAUUAACAAUUAAUUAAAAACAUAGAGAAUUUAUGCUUUAAUUUUGUUCGACAGUUACUGAAAUCACUUUACUAAUUGUAUUACUAUUCAUUUAAAUGACAUAAAUUCUGUAAAAUUAUUUAAGUUGUUGUUUAUGUACCAUUGCGAAGUUUUAAAUUUUGUUUUUCGUUGCAGAUUUAUAGUAUGUUAGCAAAUCACCUCAGUGCAAUGUAGCAUGUAAGUCCAAAUUAACCCAAAUAAGCGCAGCGUAUAAUACGAACAAAACUGUGAGGACACAGUAACUAAAUAUUUAAAUAUCAAGAAACAUGGUUAUUAACGAACUGGAUCACAAAAAGAUAGAAGUAAAAACACUAAUUAAGGGACAUACGGAAGAACUAUAGUAAAUACAAAAUAAGAAAAGUGUCGUAAAACAUGCAGGAAUUGUAGCAGGAAUGUUCAGUUGACAUCUGCAAAAGAUAACCCAGAUCAAGGCAAUUGGUAUGUUGCGCACAGAAAAUUAAAAGUUAUUAGCUACAUGAAUAAAGCCAUGUGUGUGUUGGACUGGUAUUGCAUUUUGCUUGGUUACUACAUGACUGUCGAUUAAAUACCAGUUGUUCAAGUUGACUGCUACUGAAGUGAACAAAAAUGCCAC